CACAAGUCGUGCAGCCAGGAGAUUAGAACCUACGGAAGUAACGAGAGUAGCAGUAGAGGUGAAACAGAGAGGACCCGAGUGAAAAAUAAUUUUAACUCCAGGGGAUUUGGGGACUGAUACAUACGAAGACGAGGAUUUGGUUCUUCGACACCAAAUCCCACCAUUUCCUCCUCCUGAUGUACAAGCCUUCAAAAUCGGAAUUGGAGCUCUGCAGGGAAGAGAUGCUGCAUGACCUCGGGGACAGCGGCUGCCCCAGGGUGAGACGUGCCCUUGGAAAGCCCCAGUGGACCCUGCGGUUGUCAAUGGAGUGGAGCAAUGCCAUGAGAACCAGUAUUAAGACCUGCAACCCCCUCCUGGCUGCACCGCCCGCUUGCUGAACAGGAAAUGGCACCUCAGAACCCCGUAAACGACGAGCCCAGGCUCCCCGGUCCAAAGAUCUGUGUUCGGGCACAACCGGCCCUUUGUGUGUUGGGGUCAAUUGUGGCUCCUAAUUGGCAGUGUAAACAAUGGGCCUCUGUGUUUGUUCACAGAAGACAACAGCACUCUGGAGCAAUGACACGUGUUUCAACGUCCAAAAAAAAAAGAGCAGAGCCUGACAUUCCAGCAAAAAUCUCUAAAGAAUCCUGCGCUUAUCGCAAAAAGACCUUGUUACGCAGUCCAAAUAAAUGGCUGCAGCGCCAGCCUCCCAGCACUCGGCAGGCCACAGUCCCUCGGCGGAGACUGGGUGAGCACUGGGUGUGAAGUGCCAAACAGUGCAGUGAUUAGCAGCUUGCAAGGUUUCACUGGGCGUGAUUUAAGGCCCUUAUCUGCCUCAGAGGUCCUCCGUGCCCGAUUCAACUCCAGCCGACUACGAUUACGGUAGUUUUCAGGAAGAGAUCCUCUCUGCCCUACAGACGGCCCAGCCCCUAGAGGACACCGCCAGGGGCAGCGAGCAGGGCUUCCAAGCUACGGGGCCUUGAAAGAGGGAAAUGAGAAGACACCUGUGGCCAGACUAUUGACAAAGUAGCACCUAGACCGGCGUUUGACCAAGCAAUUGGGUACCGCAGUCCAGCCAAGUUGACAUGUAAAUUGAACUAUCACAAGCGCCUUGGUGCCCAAGGUGGUGACAUGGUAGGUGGUCACCGGGUAAGUGUAGACCGUACAGAGGAGCGACCUCACCUCAUCCCAGUCUUGCUCUCUUCCCCGGCACCUGCUCCCAUCUGACAUCCUAUGUUUUACAUAGUUAUCUGCUCUUGCCUGUCCCGGAUUUGUGUCUGUUUUGUCCUCAGUGCCCAGAGGCGUCCCUGGCAUAUAGUAGACACUCAAUAAAUUUUUGCAAAUGAAUGAAUUUGAAGGGUAGCCAUGCCCACCAGCAGAGCAGUAAGCCAAGUGCGAGGUCUUUUUACGUGUCGGGCCCUGUGUGACUGCACAGGUCUCACUCCCAUGAAGCCAGCCCUUGUUACACGCGGUCCAAAGGAACAGCACUUUGCUUCAUAUGGUCAUCAUUGGACUGUAGAUUUUUCCUCCCACACGAGGCUGUGAGACUCUGGAGGGCUGGGGCCAUUCCGGUUAUCUUGAUUUCCCAGUGCCUGGCACAGAGCCUGGCAUAGACCAAUGAGUUCAAUAAAAUGCCAAACGAUUGAAUGAAUUGACCGACAACUUCAUAGUUAAUUCCUCACAAGCCUUUGUGUUCUUGACAGUCUCCAUUUGCCAUUUCAACCUUGGCUUCCUAUCCCUUCCCACAAGAAGUAAAUAUAGUUUGACUCUCAGUGCCACUGGGGGAGACUGAAGUCAUCCGGCCACUUUAGGGUCAGGCCCAAGGCUCACUCCUGCAGUUGUCCUCACCCUCCUGCAUCCACGGGUUGGGCAGACUUUGAUCUGAACCUCUCCACAGUCUCCUUCAUCAAGUGGCGGGACCUCUUGUGAUUUUGAGGGAUUUAUAGACACCCAUCCACCCUUCAUGAAAUUUUUCAGCAAUACAGACCCAUUAGACAAUGAUUCAGAGAGAGAUUAAAAUAAUGAAGGUGAGAAGAAAGGGAGACCUUGUCCUGCUGGAACUCCAUCCAUCAUCAUUUGUGGCUCUAAAGAAGAAUGAUCAUCCCAGCGCAUUAAAGAAAGUUGUCCAUUAGGCACCCUGUGAGACCUCAGAAAAUUGUUCCCCGGAGAGGGCUGUAGGUGGGCAGCCACGUCCAUGUGAUGAAUUUAUCACCUGAGAGCCCAGUGUGGUUCCCUAGGUGAAGCGGGGAGUAUUCGGAAAACCAAAAAAAACAAAAACUACUCUCAACUCCCACUAUUCUAAAGGAGAAUCAGAAGGGAGACUGAGGAAGAGUCUUAGGAGAUCUAGGGCCACCCAGAUGGUCCCCUGAGAUCAGAUUACCACCCACUUUUUCAAGAAUCACCUCUUACACCCAAUUUGAAGUUUUAAAAAUGCUUCAGAUUGUAUUUUUUACAAUAGCAUGUGGUUUAAAAACAGCCCAUUAUAAAAUGAUUAAAUAGAUUAAUACACAUCAUCUCAGUGUAAUAUUAUGCAGUUAAGUGUUGACAAAAACUAUAGGUUAAGGGAGAAAAAUGAAGUAUUAAGUGGAAAAAGGCAAGACAAGCACGUAGAUGAUAGGACCACAGCUACAUAAAACAUCGACAUAUAGGAAAAAGAUUGGAAGGAAAAGCACCCCCAAAUACUAAGUCAUUGUCUUUGGGGGAUGAGAUUAUUGGUAGCUUUUUGUUUUUUGUAAUUUCAAAAUAUUCUCAGUUGGGCAGGUGUGGAUCAGUGCCAUCCCUGCCGGAGGCAGCAGGCAGGUGAUUUUGGGACUCAGCUCUAGCCCCCCUUACGAUAAUAGUCACCCAAUUUUUAUUUAAGGAUCUACCCUCACAUUUAGAUAACUAACAAUGAGCUAUUCUGUUAUUAUUACUAUUAUUAUUAUUCUAUGGUUUCAGUGAACGCCUGGCUUCAGUUGACUCAUCUCAUCUCAACCACAGAGUCUGGUUGUCAGAUGGGUGUCCAUCCAUGGAAGCUAGUCCAGCCCAACAAGACUCUCUGUUCCAUUAUUUGUAUGUGAAUUAAAUAUGAAACUGACUGCAUGGGAGGGGAGAGUCCAUCUGGGAAUGAAGCCCACGGAUUUCAGCCAAGAGAUGGAUGGCAAAUCCGAUCACGUUGGCUGAACUCCUGCAUCAAGCCAUACCUGAAGCCAGCCCUACCUUCAGCCUCUGGAGCCUACAUUUUAUCGUGCUUAAUCCCAUUGGGUUGGUUUUCUGUCCUUUGCAGCAGCAGGAGGAGUGCUUUCCAGUACACUCUGUUUGAAGAGCCUCUGUCCUAUAGGGGACACAGACAGGUGAGGAUGGGGUGUUUGGUACAGGAGCCUAAAGGAGGACGGGGAGCUGAGCCUGGACUCUUGGAGGUUCCCUGGAGGAACGGAUGCCUGACGUAAGUUUUGCAGGAGUGGAGUGAGUCAAAUGUGGGAAGCUGUUAAGGCUUGAAUCCCUGACGUGCUCCCACGUACCUGGCUCAGUGACUCCAGAGGCCUGGAUGAGAUAUAGGGGCUCUGAAGCCCGCAUGAGGGCUCUCCAGAAAGCGCCCGCAUUUCCUGGGCACCAGAGUGGAAAAAUUUACGCUCUCCCAGAAGGGAAUUCUGCCUGAAGCUUCCAGAUUGCCAGAUCAAGCUUCAGGGAGGGAAAUUUGGGGACGAACAACAAACCUAGCAGUAAAGCGCCCAGGGAGGAAAUUUUAUAGUGAAUUUGGAUGAUUUUGGAUUCACAAAGAUACAUACCAGAGUUGUGCAGGGGAGGAGAGUGUGGGGGCGAGAAAAGCGGGAGUAUGUUUUUCUUUUGACUUCUGGUAAAAAUGUAUUUGCAAUAGAAAUACCGUUCAAUAAAUACAUAAGUAAAUCAUGAAUAGACCAUCAAAUACCACUUCGGUUUUCCACUGACAGUCAAGAAGAGAAGCAAGUUCAAGAUCAUCAAAAACAGUGAUAAGAAGGGAGGUGUCAAGUGAAGGAGGCAGAAACCGCUGUACCUGACUGAUAUUGCCAUGGGGCACGGCGGCGGGGUCACAGCCACGGUCCUGGGUAAAUACCAGUGGCAAGAGGCGCUGCUGAUUUGACGCAAACGGCUCAGAAGGGAGGACUUUAGAUUGAAUAACCCCGGGAAGAUCUAGGGAUUAUGGGCUCCGAGGUGAUUUCCUAAGGGACAGAGCUGAAGUGCCUCAUUUUAUUGAAAAUUGGACUGUGUGAAACAGGGUCAAAUUAAGGAACCUUUCUCAGCAGCUACCUGAGGGGCCUCUUCUCUCUAAUUACCAGGAUCGCACAGUUGAAGCAGCCCCCAUUGUUCAGCCAGCUUCUGAAAAGAAGCCUUCUCUCAGAAGGGGAGUGAAUGCAGAGCUCUCUGAAGUGGUUAAUCUACCAGAGCAACGAAAAGGUGGUUUAUUAGAUUAAUUGUGACUGCAAAAAGCAAGAAAACAAACAAACCAAAACCCCAAACUGCUGGGAACGUACAUUUGAAAGUAGAUGCACGAGACUGUUCAAAUAUAAACAUAAUCGUGGCCCCCAAGAUCAGUGUGGUGACCAGAUUAUGUUAAACCCUCCUGAUAACAAACCAGGAAAGCCUAUACAUACUAGUGUCUCUGCGAGCUGCACUGUAAAGUUUAGACGGCCAGGGGGACAGUCACCUUGGGAGCUCCAGGGACGGCCUUGAACCAUGUAUUGUUUUUCUCUUUAUUCCUAUUCACCACAACUGUCAGAGAUAUGUUAGCUGACACAUUUCUCCUGACACUGACUAUAAGAUGUACCUCCAUUUUAAGAACGUUGGAAAGUGAAAAAAAUGUUUACUUUCAAAUGGAGAUGUAUUAAAAGAUUCCACAUAUAAGCGAAAUCACAGUGCAUCUGUCUUUCUCGGUCUGACACUCCACUCGG